CUCAAAAUUAUUUCUGGGCCCGUCCCUGUUUUCGCGCCACUGCCGUUUUAAAAUAUUAAAGCGGUAAAACCGAACUGAAAAGACAUGUAUUAGUAACCAGUAAUCAGUUACUUUAUUUUGUAAUUAAAAAAAUAUAUGUUUGACUUUUUUUGAACGUGAAAUAUUUGGACAAAAAGACAUAUAUUUCAAAAAAGACUCAGGACACGAUUCCAGCCGAAGAUUUUAAAAGAUUACUCAUUGAAAAUAAAUUCUUCGCCGAUUAUUAGACUUAUCUGUUGAAAAAUACGUCACUGUUAUAUGAUACAAAACCAAACCCAGUGAUUAAAGGUAGAAGAACUAUUCAAGAUGGGCUUAAUUAUCAGCGUUUUUCGCCAAACUGUGGACUGUGUCCGCGAUAAAUUUGGGCUGUAUCCAAGUGAGGAAACAACUGGAUUAAAUCCAGAGUCGUAUUCUGACAACAUUUACGCUGAUCUAAUAAGCGAUGAGCCACCCCUUCCCCGCCCAAGGGUUACUUUCAUGUUUCCUGGGGACGAGAUUUGAGAAAUAUUUUAUUGGACACCCAAAUAUAUCAUAAUGCACCCUUAAUCACUAACAAAAUGUAUUAUUAAUUCCGCACCCCCAAAAAAUGAAAAAAACAAACAUGCACUUAAUUAUAUUAUUCUACACUUUUAUAUGUUAUUGUGCAUUUUAAUCUUCAAUAAAAUGUAUUAGUUUUGUCCAA